UGAGCCCCCGCCCCGCUUGAGGGGAGAAGGGCGGCGGCGCAGCUGGGCGGUCGGCCUGUCAAUCGGAGCUGUUUGGAGUUAUUUAGCAAUUGUUUUUUCACGCUCUGAGCUUCUGAUCCUUGGGCAGGUGGCGUAUAAGGCAGGCUAGGUUCGGUGUGUUGUAAAACAUUAAAGUACGAUGUGAUGAAAAAUUGUCUUCAGCAACUCGGAGCGCGAGCUUGUAACGUGGAAAGCGCGGUGUUAGGGACCGAGAAGCGCAGGGCUCUGCUGACCUCCAUCCGGCAGCCAGACGGGUCUCAGAAAUGCUGCAGGCUGAUGCAGAAGCAACUUUUCAAAUUAUCGGUGAAUUGCCACAGUCAGAGGGGUCUGCUGUGAGACCUGCUCCGAAAAGGUGUUUGGGUCCCGCUGAUUGUGGUGUUUAUAAAAGUAAGCGACUUGCUGAAAUUUUGUGUUCUUAACAUAGGUAUGCGGUAAUAUGAUAGAUUGGGCAGUGUUUUGUAGGAAUAACUCAGAUAAUAGGAAGUCAUUAUCUAGAGGAUGCUUAGUGUUUGGUUAGCACAGCGUUGGACUGAAUGCUGUGUUUCUGUGUCAGGUGACACAGGUGGUCGUGGAGCUAAUCACUGUACGUACGUAGUACUGCAAAUUCUAUGGGAUGCUGUCUUUGAUAUUUGUGGAAGGAACAUGCAGCAGGAAAUGGCAAAGAAGAAAAUGCCAGUAUUCUUCUCCAGAAGUCCUGAAAAUUGACAAACUAAUCUACAUCAAUCUAGCUUCUGCUGUUCAGCUCUACUGCAAUUUCAAAAAUGGAUCUGAACCUACUUGGCUUUUCACAGCCUGAUAAGAGUGGCGACUUACGAGGAUACUGAGUAAUUACAGCAGUCUCAUUUAUGUGGUAGCUGCUUUAAGUCGUUAUAAUUCUUAAUAUCACAGGGUGGCACUGAUACUGGCCUGAAUGGAGGUGCAAGAAAUUAUGUUACUGCUUUUGAAUGUGAAGGCUGCUCUGAAAGUAAUGCCUCCUGUGUUGUUAUGUUGGGCUGCUACAUCAGGGUGGAUAUUAGGGCAGUAGAGCUUGAACCUUCCCUCAGAUGUUCUGUUACAUUUUGUUGCUGUGUGAUAGAGGGCAGCAGAGAAGCAUUGUAACAAAACGAUGUCUGGUAUGGAAGCAUGUAUGAAGCAAAGAUGUGUAAUUGUGUUUCUCCAUGCAGAAAAAUGUCACCCAUUGAUAUCUGUGGAUGCUAGCUGAACAUUUAUGGAGGCCAGACAGUGAAUAUUAGCACAAUGAGGCAGUAGGUGAUGCGCUUCAGCAGUAGCAAGAGCGGGUCACCUUUGCUGGUUCAGAUUUUUACUAGCACAGCAUGCAGGCUUUUGUUCACUGCUGCUGAAAAUGCAUAGCUAGUGGUGGUGACUAUGCUGAAAACUACUGUUCUGUAACUGAAAGUUUGCUCUAUCAAAUAUUGUUAUCAUGCUCUUUCUAUCUGUAGGAGUUUCCGUGGAAAUAAAUAGGAGGCAUUACUUUUGUAGUGGCCUAUGUACAGAUUUUGUACUUGAGUGCUGUAGCAAAUAGCUGAUUGUUCUCAAAGGAUUGGAAAAAUCCUUGUAAUACCAUGCAUGCAACUGAAGUACAGGGCUAGUGAACUACUGUGUUGGACCGUGAGGCACAGCAUUUUCAGUAGGACUGUGAAGGACCAGUUUCUCUUCCUGUGCUUUUUCUGAAUAAAGUAUUUGUUCCUA